rnacentral:tRNA from 1 species
GGAGAGAUGGCAGAGUGGUCGAAUGUACCGCACUCGAAAUGCGGCGUGCUCUUACGGGCACCCAGGGUUCGAAUCCCUGUCUCUCCG